rnacentral:rRNA from 1 species
UACGUAGGGUGCAAGCGUUGUCCGGAAUUAUUGGGCGUAAAGAGCUCGUAGGCGGUUUGUCGCGUCGAAUGUGAAAACCCGGGGCUCAACCCCGGGCCUGCAUUCGAUACGGGCAGACUAGAGGUAGGCAGGGGAGAGCGGAACUCCUGGUGUAGCGGUGGAAUGCGCAGAUAUCAGGAAGAACACCGGUGGCGAAGGCGGCUCUCUGGGCCUUACCUGACGCUGAGGAGCGAAAGCGUGGGUAGCGAACAGG